GACGAACGCUGGCGGCGUGCUUAACACAUGCAAGUCGAACGGUAAGGCCCUUCGGGGUACACGAGUGGCGAACGGGUGAGUAACACGUGGGUGAUCUGCCCUGCACUUCGGGAUAAGCCUGGGAAACUGGGUCUAAUACCGGAUAGGACCACUGCCUGCAUGGGUGGUGGUGGAAAGCUUUUGCGGUGUGGGAUGGGCCCGCGGCCUAUCAGCUUGUUGGUGGGGUGAUGGCCUACCAAGGCGACGACGGGUAGCCGGCCUGAGAGGGUGACCGGCCACACUGGGACUGAGAUACGGCCCAGACUCCUACGGGAGGCAGCAGUAGGGAAUUUUGCGCAAUGGACGAAAGUCUGACGCAGCGACGCCGCGUGCGGGAUGAAGGCCUUCGGGUUGUAAACCGCUUUUGAUGCAGACGAAUUUUGACGGUAUGCAUCGAAUAAGAGGUUGCUAACUCUGUGCCAGCAGCCGCGGUAA
rnacentral:rRNA from 1 species